AUCUUUGCGCUUGGGGCAAUGACGCAGCUAAUGAGGUACUAACCGAGGCGCGUCUAUUGCUGGUUGAAAACUAUUUCCAAACCCCCUCUUAGGCCUGAGUUUAACUUAGGCUUUCGAGAAUUUCUGGAAGGACUCCCUUUGGGGUAAAGUCCUACAAUUUUAGUUCAAUUUUUUAUUGAGAGCUUCCUUCUCCUAACUUAUGAGGGCUGUGGUUGGUAUCGCAGCAUUUGGCAGUUAAUAUGUUUGGGGUAAACGUACGUUCAAAAUCAACACCGUAAUUAUCAAAGCAGUGUGUUCCUCGGUUUAGUUUUAUUUACCUGUAGGAUAACAACCCAUAGGAAAAUAGUUAAUUUCGUAGAUGGAUCAAAUAAAGAACCAUUCAAAGCAUAUUUAGAUUGACAGUAAAUUUAAGAAUCAUUUGCGUUUAAAAAAUUCGAAGUAUUUCUUAAAAAAGAAAAAUCAAAGUAUCAUCACUAUUUUGUCCAAACAUUAAAGUAUGAGACAUGCUAUA
rnacentral:snRNA from 1 species